rnacentral:sRNA from 2 species
AAGGCCGGGAUUCGUUGGGCUCUGAUGGGGGUUUGUAUAUUGUAUUUGUCUGUCCUGUCUAUCUUCUUUUUCUUGUUGAUGACGUGAUAUCUCAAGAGAGUUGGUCAACUUAGUUAACUGAGUUAACGGGAGAUAUGAUCUGACGUGAUUGUUAUAUCCAUAGUGAGUCCAUGGAUUGUCUGAUUACUGUGUUCCCUGGAUGUUUCGUCCAGGAUUCACAAUCUCCAGCCCUAACGGGAAACCUUGGCUCGACUUCCCAAUGCGGCAUGUAUCUCCGUGAUUAACCUGUCUGGCAAGCAUUCGGCUACACUCCGCUGAUUCUCAGUGUUGCUAGGGCCGGCGGGCUGGUUGUUGUGAUUUGUCUCGAUUGUGGUGAGGAUGAGGGUGGAGAACUGAGAAGGUCUUGGCAAGUGAGCAGCAGGCUGAGAGAGGCAAACGCCGUUGUUAAAAAAAAAAAAAAAGAAAAGAAAAGAAAAAGAAAACAAAAAGAAGCAAGAAAGAAAAAGAAAAAAACGGAAAACAGCCAACGAACAUGCAAAGAAAAGACGAAGAACAAGAGACCGAAGACCGAAGCGUGCGCCGCGAGGGGUGUCGUCCAAGCCACCAGGUCUUGAUUGCAGAUUGGCCUUGCGCUAAUCGUGGAUCUCCGUAUUCUGUAUUUUUGGGCGAAUACGCAUGUUCAUCGUUGGUGGACAAACUCUGAGCACAGAAAGUCUCCAACCUACCUGAAAUCCUGUCUAUCUCGGGUUUGUUGGUUUUGUCGGGUUUGUCGGUUUGUCGGUUUGUCGGUUUGUUCAUACUUUUUGCUCAACUGAGAAGGCUGGAUACCUGCAGCGUCCCUGUGGCAAAGUAAGGUAAUCUACGUCAUUUUCUGAUAGGAUGCCAGUGGUUUAUUUUGCCAUCCAUUUUCAAAGCUCUUGUAUCCGGGAGAGAUCCUGGGUGACUGAUUUCCCCUUCAGGUAGUUCCUCUGGAGUCUGGAAGGCGAGGUUCUCGCCACGCGCUCGAAGGUGGACGUGAUUGAUGCUUGAUAUCCUGGUGCUGUUGGGGGGAGGUCUUUGUUCAACCAAGCCAGCCCCAGAUGGCCACACCCGAACCCGGUUUGUUUGCACCAUCAGUAAUAAGCCAAGAGUUAGAUUUGAGCGGUUUUAAAGCAGGGCCAUCCCAACCUGCUUUCUCAACUGGUGACUGAAGGGGAGCCGUUGGUUUUUGGUGGAUGGUUUGCAAUUGCAUCAAAUCUUCAGUGUCCCUCCCAACCCAUCGCAAAACGAUGCCGCGGGCGUUUGCAAUAACGUGAUUGGCACGAAAGUCAGGAUAGGAUACAAAGGCAAUUAAGUUAAGUUCAAGUUAUUUAGUGAGUUAACUAACAAUGAAACUUUAGACCUGUUACGUAAGAAAGACGUAACUGGACAGCUAGUUAGCCAGCGAGUUAGUUGACUUGAGUCUUUAGCUACAAUUUUGGCUUGGUCAAUGUGGAGCUCCCUCUGGGUAAAAUAAUGGCCUUUCUCAGGUCAUAUGCAGAUCGGAGUUACAAGUGGAAUUAGGGAUUAGAAGUGAAGAUGGGGUUAUGGUUGGAGUUACGCGCAAGGGCGUGGAUGAAGAGGGAAACCAGAGAGAUGCCAGUCAGGCAUACAUAGUUAGCUACAGUUGAAACAUCACUAUUAGGUGCCCCGUAGCUUAAAGCACAACAAAAAGGCGUGCAUAGUUGUAAAGGAGAUAAGAAAAGGAACCUUGGAAGCAAGAAACCGCAGCAUUUGUUGUUGCUGUUGAUGAUGAUACAAUGAUACAAUGAUACGAUGA